rnacentral:rRNA from 1 species
UAAUACCGCAUAAGCCCACGGCUCGGCAUCGAGCAGAGGGAAAAGGAGUGAUCCGCUUUGAGAUGGCCUCGCGUCCGAUUAGCUAGUUGGUUGAGGUAAUGGCCCACCAAGGCGACGAUCGGUAGCCGGACUGAGAGGUUGAACGGCCACAUUGGGACUGAGACACGGCCCAGACUCCUACGGGAGGCAGCAGUGGGGAAUAUUGCACAAUGGGGGAAACCCUGAUGCAGCGACGCCGCGUGGAGGAAGAAGGUCUUCGGAUUGUAAACUCCUGUUGUUGAGGAAGAUAAUGACGGUACUCAACAAGGAAGUGACGGCUAACUACGUGCCAGCAGCCGCGGUAAAACGUAGGUCACAAGCGUUGUCCGGAAUUACUGGGUGUAAAGGGAGCGCAGGCGGGAGAACAAGUUGGAAGUGAAAUCCAUGGGCUCAACCCAUGAACUGCUUUCAAAACUGUUUUUCUUGAGUAGUGCAGAGGUAGGCGGAAUUCCCGGUGUAGCGGUGGAAUGCGUAGAUAUCGGGAGGAACACCAGUGGCGAAGGCGGCCUACUGGGCACCAACUGACGCUGAGGCUCGAAAGUGUGGGUAGCAAACAGGAUUAGAUACCCUGGUAGUCCACACCGUAAACGAUGAUUACUAGGUGUUGGAGGAUUGACCCCUUCAGUGCCGCAGUUAACACAAUAAGUAAUCCACCUGGGGAGUA